UACGUAGGGAGCAAGCGUUUGUCCGGAAUCAUUGGGCGUAAAGCGCGCGUAGGUGGCCUCAUAAGUCCGCUGUGAAAGUCAAAAGGCUCAACCUUUGAAAGCCGGUGGAUACUGUGAGGCUAGAGUACGGAAGAGGCGAGUGGAAUUCCUGGUGUAGCGGUGAAAUGCGCAGAUAUCAGGAAGAACACCCGUGGCGAAGGCGGUCUCUGGGACGGUACUGACGCUGAGACGCGAAAGCGUGGGGAGCGAACAGG
rnacentral:rRNA from 1 species